AUGGGGAGGGGAAGGAUUGAGAUCAAGAGGAUCGAGAACACCACUAGCCGGCAGGUGACCUUCUGCAAGCGCCGGAACGGGCUCCUCAAAAAGGCCUACGAGCUCUCCGUCCUGUGCGACGCCGAGGUGGCGCUCAUCGUCUUCUCCAGCCGCGGCCGCCUCUACGAGUACUCCAACAACAGUGUCAAGGCUACAAUUGACAGGUACAAGAAGGCACAUGCUUGUGGCUCAACCUCUGGGGUACCUCUCAUAGAAGUCAAUGCUCAGCAAUACUACCAGCAAGAAGCUGCAAAGCUGCGCCACCAGAUCCAGAUGCUGCAAAGCACUAACAAGCACUUGGUUGGUGAUUCUGUUGGGAACCUGUCACUCAAGGAGCUGAAGCAACUCGAAAGCCGGCUUGAGAAAGGCAUUGCGAAGAUCAGGGCCAGGAAGAAUGAGCUCCUAUCUUCUGAGAUCAACUACAUGGUCAAAAGGGAGAUAGAGCUUCAGAGUGACAGCAUUGAUCUCAGAACCAAGAUUGCGGAGGAGGAGCAGCGGUUGCAGCAGGUGACUAUCGCCAGGCCCUCGGUGGCGCCGGAGCUGAACCCUUUCACCGCACUGGACAUGAAGUGCUUCUUCCCUGCCAACCUCUUCGAGGCGGCGGUGCAUGCGCACGCGCAGGCACAGGCUCAGGCUCAGGCUCAGGCCUCGCUUCAGCUGAACCUAGGCUACCAGCAGCUUGCUCCACCGGGCGCCGGCGAUGUGGCUCAUCAGUUCUAG
rnacentral:rRNA from 1 species